rnacentral:lncRNA from 10 species
GAAAGGAGGGGCUUAGCGGUCGCGGUCUGGUUGGAGCGGCGCCGGGGACCGUGUCCAGCAGCUGCGCUGGCCUCACAGUGCGUCUGGUUUACCCCAGUUGCUUUGGAGGGGCCUGGGGUAGGGGGUCCAGGAACCCCCGGGACCCCGGCAGCGCCACCAGUGCCCGGUCGGCGUCUGGGUCUGGCUUCUCCGCGUGACUCCCACGCUCUCCUCUCCUCACUCACGGGGCGUUCCUGGCGUCUGCGCUUUUCCUCCCACUCCCGGCCGUCCACUCUCAACUCCCUCCUCCCUCCGCCCCGCCCGCCUGGCGCGGAGAGUUCGCUCCGAGACCUGGGCGAGGGGUUGGCGCGGGAUCCGAAGCCCAGGAGGGCCUUGGGGGUGGCGGCCUCGUCCGGUUGCUGGAACACAUUUCUGGAAGAUGAAGAAAAACCUGCUUCUCUGCCACGGUACCCAGCCAUGUUGGAGCAAGAGGCAGACUCUUCAGCUGUUCCUAGCUAU